AUUGAACGCUGGCGGCAGGCCUAACACAUGCAAGUCGAACGGUAACAGGAAGCAGCUCGCUGCUUUGCUGACGAGUGGCGGACGGGUGAGUAAUGUCUGGGAAACUGCCCGAUGGAGGGGGAUAACUACUGGAAACGGUAGCUAAUACCGCAUAACGUCGCAAGACCAAAGAGGGGGACCUUAGGGCCUCUUGCCAUCGGAUGUGCCCAGAUGGGAUUAGCUAGUAGGUGGGGUAACGGCUCACCUAGGCGACGAUCCCUAGCUGGUCUGAGAGGAUGACCAGCCACACUGGAACUGAGACACGGUCCAGACUCCUACGGGAGGCAGCAGUGGGGAAUAUUGCACAAUGGGCGCAAGCCUGAUGCAGCCAUGCCGCGUGUAUGAAGAAGGCCUUCGGGUUGUAAAGUACUUUCAGCGGGGAGGAAGGGAGUAAAGUUAAUACCUUUGCUCAUUGACGUUACCCGCAGAAGAAGCACCGGCUAACUCCGUG
rnacentral:rRNA from 1 species